rnacentral:rRNA from 1 species
UACGUAGGGCGCAAGCGUUGUCCGGAAUUAUUGGGCGUAAAGAGCUCGUAGGCGGCUUGUCACGUCGGGUGUGAAAGCCCGGGGCUUAACUCCGGGUCUGCAUUCGAUACGGGCUAGCUAGAGUGUGGUAGGGGAGAUCGGAAUUCCUGGUGUAGCGGUGAAAUGCGUAGAUAUCUGGAGGAACACCGGUGGCGAAGGCGGCAUCCUGGACCGGUAUUGACGCUGAGGCGCGAAAGCCAGGGGAGCAAACGGG